UACGGGGGGGGCAAGCGUUGUUCGGAAUUACUGGGCGUAAAGGGCGCGUAGGCGGCCCGCUAAGUCGAACGUGAAAUCCCCGGGCUCAACCCGGGAACUGCGUCCGAUACUGGCAGGCUUGAAUCCGGGAGAGGGAUGUGGAAUUCCAGGUGUAGCGGUGAAAUGCGUAGAUAUCAGGAGGAAUACCGAUGGCGAAGGCAGGUCUCUGGGCUAUAACUGACGCUCAUGCACGAAAGCGUGGGGAGUAAACAGG
rnacentral:rRNA from 1 species